GACGAACGCUGGCGGCGUGCCUAAUACAUGCAAGUCGAACGCUUUGAUUUUCACCGGAGCUUGCUCCACCGAAAAUCAAAGAGUGGCGGACGGGUGAGUAACACGUGGGCAACCUGCCCAACAGAGGGGGAUAACACUUGGAAACAGGUGCUAAUACCGCAUAAUUUGUUUUUCCGCAUGGAAGAAUAAUAAAAGACGCUUCGGUGUCACUGUUGGAUGGGCCCGCGCUGCAUUAGUUAGUUGGUGGGGUAACGGCCUACCAAGACCAUGAUGCAUAGCCGACCUGAGAGGGUGAUCGGCCACACUGGGACUGAGACACGGCCCAGACUCCUACGGGAGGCAGCAGUAGGGAAUCUUCGGCAAUGGACGAAAGUCUGACCGAGCAACGCCGCGUGAGUGAAGAAGGUUUUCGGAUCGUAAAACUCUGUUGUUAGAGAAGAACAAGUGAGAGAGUUACUGUUCUCACCUUGACGGUAUCUAACCAGAAAGCCACGGCUAACUACGUGCCAGCAGCCGCGGUAAUACGUAGGUGGCAAGCGUUGUCCGGAUUUAUUGGGCGUAAAGCGAGCGCAGGCGGUUUCUUAAGUCUGAUGUGAAAGCCCUCGGCUCAACCGAGGAAGGUCAUUGGAAACUGGGGAACUUGAGUGCAGAAGAGGAGAGUGGAAUUCCAUGUGUAGCGGUGAAAUGCGUAGAUAUAUGGAGGAACACCAGUGGCGAAGGCGACUCUCUGGUCUGUAACUGACGCUGAGGCUCGAAAGCGUGGGGAGCAAGCAGG
rnacentral:rRNA from 1 species